AAAUUGAAGAGUUUGAUCAUGGCUCAGAUUGAACGCUGGCGGCAGGCCUAACACAUGCAAGUCGAACGGUAACAGGAAACAGCUUGCUGUUUCGCUGACGAGUGGCGGACGGGUGAGUAAUGUCUGGGAAACUGCCUGAUGGAGGGGGAUAACUACUGGAAACGGUAGCUAAUACCGCAUAAUGUCGCAAGACUAAAGAGGGGGACCUUCGGGCCUCUUGCCAUCGGAUGUGCCCAGAUGGGAUUAGCUAGUAGGUGGGGUAACGGCUCACCUAG
rnacentral:rRNA from 1 species